CUACUUCUCAGGAGCCUUUGGAUGAUGGUGGCCGGGGUUAUUCCCCAAGAGAAGGCAGCUCUGGAGAGAGACGGAAGGAGACAACUCCCUCACCCACGGAGCCCUGUCCUCCCUCAGAGACCGCAGAGACACGCCUUCCCGUCUGAGGACUAGAAGAGUAGUGAGUUGCCCGGCCCAAAGAUGGGUCGGACAAUCAAAGCAGAAAGCUACACUGACUGAAACAAAGCCCCUCUUGGGAUCCUGGUGCCUUUCUGCACAUAAUCCCUCAUCAGAGACCUCGGAGCCCUGCAGAUUCUACCAAAGAGACUUUGCUCCAGGCGAUGCAUGCACGAUGCAGUGUGCAGAUGAUGUUUUAUUGAGUUGUACACUUAAAAUCUGUAUGGUUUUGCAAACCAAUGUCAUCCUAAUAAACUCGAUACAAACAAACAAACAAAAAAUAAAUUCACU